rnacentral:rRNA from 1 species
UGGGGAAUUUUGGACAAUGGGCGAAAGCCUGAUCCAGCAAUGCCGCGUGUGUGAAGAAGGCCUUCGGGUUGUAAAGCACUUUUGUCCGGAAAGAAAUCCUUGGCUCUAAUACAGUCGGGGGAUGACGGUACCGGAAGAAUAAGCACCGGCUAACUACGUGCCAGCAGCCGCGGUAAUACGUAGGGUGCAAGCGUUAAUCGGAAUUACUGGGCGUAAAGCGUGCGCAGGCGGUUUGCUAAGACCGAUGUGAAAUCCCCGGGCUCAACCUGGGAACUGCAUUGGUGACUGGCAGGCUAGAGUAUGGCAGAGGGGGGUAGAAUUCCACGUGUAGCAGUGAAAUGCGUAGAGAUGUGGAGGAAUACCGAUGGCGAAGGCAGCCCCCUGGGCCAAUACUGACGCUCAUGCACGAAAGCGUGGGGAGCAAACAGGAUUAGAUACCCUGGUAGUCCACGCCCUAAACGAUGUCAACUAGUUGUUGGGGAUUCAUUUCCUUAGUAACGUAGCUAACGCGUGAAGUUGACCGUCUGGGGAGUACGGUCGCAAGAUUAAAACUUAAAUGAAUUGACGGGGUC